CUUUGUGUGACAGGUUUCCCCAAUGUCAUUGGUGCAGUGGACUGCACACACAUAAGGAUAAAAGCCCCCUCAGGUGCCCAUGAGGCAGAUUUUGUGAAUAGGAAAUCCUUUCACAGCAUUAAUGUUCAGAUGGUCUGCAAUGCUGACUGUGUGAUCAGCAAUGUUGUGGCAAAAUGGCCUGGCUCAGUCCAUGACUCCAGAAUCUUUCGGGCCUCUGAAAUCUACCAGUGCCUAUCACAAGGUGAAUUCUCUGGUGUGUUGCUGGGAGACAGGGGGUAUGGCUGCCAGCCUUUUCUCCUGACACCUUUCACAGACCCCCAGGAAGCACAGCAGGCCUACAACCAUGCCCAUGCCAGGACCAGG